CCAAGACCAGUAACCAUAGAUGACCAGUCAAAGGGGGAAAAAAAUCUGUUGGAAAAUGGAAACAAAGUUAUCUAGCUACCUACCGAAGUUGUCAAAUGGAUACCCUUCCCGUAACCAUGGUGUUUGAAGAGGAUGUAUUGGGAGGAGGAUUCAUCAAUAAAUACCCUGGAACGAUGUUUGUGGUGCACUCACUCAUUACACUUUUUUAAGUGAUAAAUCGUCUUCAAGCUUAAUAAGUUCAUGCAUUCAACAAGCUUUGGACGAAGGACUUCCACGGGUCCGCCGUCUCCAAAGACAAUAGUUCUGAACCGGGUGAUUGAUUUUGUUGUUUUCAUUAUUUCAGUUUUGUUCGUUCUCUUUUUAACAUCCAUUGGUUGAAAGCUCAUUGUUCAGUUAUCACUUGGCUCGUGUAAAUUCUGUAGUUGCCCCUUUAAACCUAAUCCUAAAAUCAAAUCAAAGUUUAUUGGUUGUGUACACAGAUUUGCAAAUGUAAUGGCAGGUGCAGCGAAAUGCUUGGGUUUCUAGCUCCAACACUGCAAUAAUUUAAAAAAUACACACAUAAUACAUAACACAAAAAUAAUGUGUUAUAUAGGAUGAGCCAUGACUAGAAUGCAGUAUAUACAUUUAAAGUGGGUGAAACAGUAUGUAAACAUUAA